GAUGAACGCUGUCUACAGGCUUAACACAUGCAAGUCGAGGGGAAACGACGGGGAAGCUUGCUUCCCCGGGCGUCGACCGGCGCACGGGUGAGUAACGCGUAUCCAACCUGCCUCUGACUGAGGGAUAACCCGUCGAAAGUCGGCCUAAUACCUCAUGGCAUCGUCUGCGGGCAUCCAACGACGAUUAAAGAUUUCAUCGGUCAGGGAUGGGGAUGCGUCUGAUUAGCUUGUUGGCGGGGUAACGGCCCACCAAGGCUACGAUCAGUAGGGGUUCUGAGAGGAAGGUCCCCCACAUUGGAACUGAGACACGGUCCAAACUCCUACGGGAGGCAGCAGUGAGGAAGAUUGGUCAAUGGGCGGGAGCCUGAACCAGCCAAGUAGCGUGCAGGAUGACGGCCCUAGGGGUUGUAAACUGCUUUUAUGCGGGGAUAAAGUGAGGGACGUGUCCUUCAUUGCAGGUACCGCAUGAAUAAGGACCGGCUAAUUCCGUG
rnacentral:rRNA from 1 species